rnacentral:rRNA from 1 species
AUUCAAGUGAUUAAGGGCUUAUAGAGGAUACCUAGGCAUUUAGAAGCGAAGAAGGGCGUGGCUACCUGCGAAAUGCUUCGGUGAGCUGGAAGCAAGCUGUGAUCCGGAGAUACCCGAAUAAGGAAACUUCAAUAGAACUUCUCGAGGAAUAAAUACUCGAGGUUAGAGCGAACCCGGA